CCUACGGGUGGCAGCAGUGGGGAAUAUUGGACAAUGGGCGAAAGCCUGAUCCAGCCAUGCCGCGUGUGUGAAGAAGGCCUUCGGGUUGUAAAGCACUUUCAGUGGGGAAGAAAGCCUUGGGGCUAAUACCCUCGAGGAAGGACAUCACCCACAGAAGAAGCACCGGCUAACUCCGUGCCAGCAGCCGCGGUAAUACGGAGGGUGCGAGCGUUAAUCGGAAUUACUGGGCGUAAAGCGCGCGUAGGCGGUCUGAUAAGCCGGUUGUGAAAGCCCCGGGCUCAACCUGGGAACGGCAUCCGGAACUGUCAGGCUAGAGUGCAGGAGGGGAGGGUAGAAUUCCCGGGGUGGCGGUGAAAUGCGUAGAGAUCGGGAGGAAUACCAGUGGCGAAGGCGGCCUUCUGGACUGACACUGACGCGGAGGUUCGAACGCGUGGGUAGCAAACAGGAUUAGAUACCCCGGUAGUC
rnacentral:rRNA from 1 species